AUCCUUUAAUAUUCGUAGCAAUCAAGAAAGAAAUAACAUCAAAUAGAUGCAAUCUUUAUCAAUUCUAAUUAGGAUUUUCAAAAAUUUAACGCCCAAUAAAUAAUUAUAUUAACAAAAUAAAUUCGUUAGUCAAUUUAUCAAAUAAACUAUAUAUCAUGAAGACUGAAGAGAAAUGGUACGUUUCUGCUCUUUUAUUUUAUGAUCUUUAUGCGCUAUCAACUAAAUGAGUAAAAAAGAUA
rnacentral:lncRNA from 1 species